rnacentral:rRNA from 1 species
UGUGCCUACGGGACGCAGCAGUGGGGAAUAUUGCACAAUGGAGGAAACCCUGAUGCAGCAACGCCGCGUGAGUGAGGAAGUAUUUCGGUAUGUAAAGCUCUAUCAGCAGGGAAUAGAAAAGAAGGUACCUGAAAAAGAAGCCCCGGCUAACUACGUGCCAGCAGCCGCGGUAAUACGUAGGGGGCGAGCGUUAUCCGGAUUCACUGGGUGUAAAGGGAGCGUAGACGGCCGUGCAAGCCAGGAGUGAAAGCCCGGGGCCCAACCCCGGGACUGCUCUUGGAACUGUGCGGCUGGAGUGCGGGAGG